rnacentral:ribozyme from 1 species
AACAAAAACAAAGAAGCAAAAGCGAAGAAGCAGAGGUAAAGGAAAAGAAACAUAGAGAGGACAUUUGGUUGUGGUGUGUGUGUGUUUGUUUGGUUGUUUUUUUCUGUUUUUUUC